rnacentral:tRNA from 1 species
ACUUUUAUAGUGUAAUCCUUAACACAUUACAUUUUCAAUGUAAAGAUAAGAAUCAGUUCUUUUAAAGUA